rnacentral:rRNA from 1 species
UACGGGGGGAGCAAGCGUUGUUCGGAUUUACUGGGCGUAAAGAGCGCGCAGGCGGUCGUACAAGUCGCGUGUGAAAGCCCCCGGCUCAACUGGGGAGGGUCACGCGAUACUGUUCGACUCGAAGGCAGGAGAGGGUAGUGGAAUUCCCGGUGUAGUGGUGAAAUGCGUAGAUAUCGGGAGGAACACCAGUGGCGAAGGCGACUACCUGGCCUGUUCUUGACGCUGAGGCGCGAAAGCUAGGGGAGCAAACGGG